rnacentral:rRNA from 1 species
GCAUAUCAUAGCGAGAAAAGAAACUACAAGAUCCCCUAGUAACUGCGAGUGAAGCGGGAAAAGCUCAAAUUUAAAAUCUGGUGGUCUUUGGCGUCCGAGUUGUAAUCUAGAGAAGUGUUACCCGCGCCGGACCGUGUAUAAGUCUCCUGGAAUGGAGCGUCAUAGAGGGUGAGAAUCCCGUCUUUGACACGGACUACCGGGGCAUUGUGGUGCGCUCUCAAAGAGUCGAGUUGUUUGGGAAUGCAGCUCAAAAUGGGUGGUAAAUUCCAUCUAAAGCUAAAUAUUGGCGAGAGACCGAUAGCGAACAAGUACCGUGAGGGAAAGAUGAAAAGAACUUUGGAAAGAGAGUUAAAAAGUACGUGAAAUUGCUGAAAGGGAAACGCUUGGAGUCAGUCGCGUUGGCCGGAAAUCAACCUUGCUUCUGCUUGGUGUACUUUCUGGUUGACGGGCCAGCAUCAGUUUUGACCGGUGGAAAAAGUUCAAGGGAAUGUGGCAUCUUUGGAUGUGUUAUAGCCCUUGGUCGUAUGCACCGAUUGGGACUGAAGAAUUCAGCACGCCGAAAGGGCGGGUCUUUGACCACGUUCGUGCUUAGGAUGCUGGCAUAAUGGCUUUAAUCGACCCGUCUUGAAACACGGACCAAGGAGUCUAACAUGCCUGCGAGUGUUUGGGUGGAAAACCCGAGCGCGUAAUGAAAGUGAAAGUUGGGAUCCUUGUCAUGGGGAGCACCGACGCCCGGACCAGAAGUAUUCUGACGGCUCCGCGGUAAAGCAUGUAUGUUGGGACCCGAAAGAUGGUGAACUAUGCCUGAAUAGGGUGAAGCCAGAGGAAACUCUGGUGGAGGCUCGUAGCGAUUCUGACGUGCAAAUCGAUCGUCGAAUUUGGGUAUAGGGGGCGAAAGACUAAUCGAACCAUCUAGUAGCUGGGUUCCUGCCGAAGU